CAUGCGCAAGGCGUGCUCGUGCUUGUGCGUUUUCUCUCUGUGUAGCCGCAUUAGGUCUGCCACUCCGAGCACUUGUGCGCAUACCGCGGUGCAUCAGGCCUUUUUCAUCUCCUUCUUGUGGUCAACGCAUCUGUUGCCAAUUGUUGGAGGCGAUGCGUCGCUGCAUGAUGCGCUGCGUUGGUGCGGCGCCGUUCGCAUCGACGCGACGCUUUCUGAGCGAUGAGGACCGCUACAAGCAGUUCUCCGACAUUCUCUCCAAAGCACGGGUGCCCAACCUUUCUUCUGGACAGGGAGGAGUACCAGAGUUCUUCAACGGCCAUUUCGAGCCCGGAAGCGGGCUCAUGGAUCAGCACAGCAUAUCGCAGAUGCAAAACACACUGCGUGCAAACAUGACACCAGAGAUGCGCGAAAGCAUAGCGUCGAUGCUGCAAUCGGCGCUUAAAGGCGGUGACGGCAUGCCGGGCGGCUCUGUCGGCAUGAUGGCGUUCGGCAUGGGCGAAAAUGAGAAGGGGAAGAAGGUGGCUCGGGCUGCAAAAGUGUACUACGACCUCAAGACGGGCAAGAUCGACAAGGAUUUUGUGGAGAAGGAGCUGGAGCCGGAUGACCUCAGUCUGCCUAAGGAGACGGUGGAGGACUACAGCACCGAGGGCGCCUUGGAGGUUGAGUUCGUCGAGGAUCAGGGGAAGGCUGAUGCCUGCACUGACAAAGCAGAGACCAUCUCUGCAGCUGAGAUCGAAGUGGAGCCGACGGACACCACGCCAUAGCGUGGAGCCAGAAGAGGCGGACCUUUUUUCUAUACAGAAGAGGACCCCCCCCCCUCCCCCCCAGCGAGCGCGUAGGCAAGUCCGUUCCGUGAUCUCACGGUAUUUUGCUGUGGGGGAGAUCCUUACCUGAGACCGUCCCGGCUUUCGCCUUCUUGCUCGGCCUCUUUCUUCCAUUUUUGUCGUCAUUUCUGCUGCGCCAUUGUUGCUGCUCUCAGUCGGCGGAAAACUUCUUUGCCCCUUCCCCUCUCCAGCGCACUUUGGUGCCUGCACCAACGACGGGUACCUUACGCGGCGUGAGGGUGGUGGCUGUUCUGGAGGUCCGUGCUCGAGAAGCUGUGUGACGUCUGACCCUCACCGCCCCUGCUGGGCAUUGUUCCUUUUCUUCGUGUUGUCUGUUAGCGGAGUUUUUCGCUCGUUGGUGGUGUGCCGCUGAUGCGACCGUGACGGCUCUGUCAGUGAAGGACUGCAAGGACGGGUACACUGAAGUGAAGCACUAGAAUGCUAUUCGGAGGGGAACCCAUGAAGACGAGAAAAACGUAAGGCUCACCUUGAUGCGUUCAGGCCCGCUACUUGUGCAGCAGCUGGUGCCCAAGAAACGACAGAGAGACGUGCGCGCUGCCACUGCCAUCUGUGAACUCUCAGACAUACUGCUCUGUCCGCUAUUUUUCUCUUCUCGCAUCUUUCUCGGCGCAGAAGUGGCGCGAUGCAUGCACCCCAGUUUCGUGAGCGUAUGCAUAUCUUCACCAGUGCCCACUGAAUUUGCGGCUUCUUCGAGUGAGCGGACAAGACUGCAUCCACUUCUCUUUGAAGGUGGCCGCGUUGUUCCAACUACAUUUCUCAUGUGAAUCAUGACCACAAACUUCUCCGUUUCCUUCGAAUCCUUGUCUCUCCUCUACUCCCCAUCCACGCACUCGCCGUCUCUGCCGCUCCUUCUAUCGUGCGACUUUCCCACACAUCUGUUUGUGCGGGCAUUCACCUAUGACGAGCUCGAUCCACUCCGGCGGCACAG
rnacentral:misc_RNA from 1 species